GUGAAUCAUGUUUUAUUGAUACAUAUCAUUCACUAACAUAUCUUAUGGAUUAUAACAUUAUAAAAUCUUUAAUCCAUACAAGUUAAGAUCAUCUUCAUCCAUAACACACACAUAGAUUAUUAUUCAUUGCAUGAUAUUAACACAAGGUAAUUUAAAUUAUCAUAUCAUAUUUGCCUUAUAAUGUAUAUCAAAAUUGACUUCAAUGCAAUAUUUUAUCAAUGAGCAUAAAUUACAUGUUAUUUCUCUUAUAUGAUUGACUAACAUUCUUAUAAGCAAGACAUCACAUUUGGUCAACCAAACAAAUCGAAUUUGUGAUCAAAGCUCAAUAAGGUAUGAAGUUUUAUUUUCUCCACAAAUUAGAUAUGUCUUAUCAUUAAGGGGGAGAUACUUCACAGGUAUCUAUUUUAAUUUUGUCGAUACCUUAUUGUUUUAAGGGGGAGAAAUCAUGCAUGAUCCAGUGCUUUUAAAUUGAAUAUUAUGGGUCAAUAAUUCAGGGGGAGCAUGCUCAUAAGGGUAAAAUAGAAUAUUGACUAGACAUGAAUUAAAACAUAUAUGCCAUCGACAAAGGGGGAGAAUGUAGAAUCAAAAUUGUUGACAUAGGAUUAUAUUUUAAUAAUGUCAAUUUAAAUCCUAAUUACACUAUUAAUCAAAAGGGGUUAAAUAAGUCAUUUGAUAUUAAACCUAACUCCAGUUAAUUAAUUAAUUAACUCCAGUUUGUCGUAAAAUUAAUUAAUUAGCAGAAAAUCGUGCCGCCGGAGGUGGUUUUUGGGAUGCCUGUUUAGACCUAUCCCAGAAAAGAUUCCUGACACUCUUUGGAAAUUCUGCUCUUUGGUACUCGUAGAGAAAACUUUUUUCACGUGAUAUGUGGUCUCAGAAUCCCAAAAUCGGAUCUGGGAAUUCCGGAGGUGGACCAACAGAAUCACUGGAAGUGAAAAAAGGCAAAAAGUCGCAUACUCUUUUUUUUUUUACCGAAACGACGAGGCGAAUCCAACCGUGACGAUGGAUUUUCGUUUCGGUCAAAGAGUCGGGCUGUGGGUAGCCUUAUUCAGCCAAAACGAUGAAUGAAGACCAGGGGCAAAUCGGCGAUUUGGCUUAGUGAAGUUCAAAAAUCGGCGAUUCCUUACGUCAAGUCAGCAAUUUCCAUAUGAAAUUCAACCAGAGCUUGACCAAGGAAAAUCGACGAUUUUUACUGAAAAUAGGCUAGUUUGCCCCUAAAUAGGCGAUUUUUGCUUGGGAAAAAUCCAACCUAUGCGAAGACGUAAGUUCCAAAGCAAGGGAUGACUUGACCGAGCUUGUUCAAGAAACAAAGAAAGAGUCGGCGAUUUAGGGAUCUAAAUCGGCGACUUUGACUUUGGGAGUUUUUGAACAGAGUCGUGGACAACACUCUUAGCUUAGCAAACGAUAUUCCGGAUCAGGCGAUUCUCAAGGCUAAGUCGACGAUUUAAGAAUAAAUCGGACUUGAGGCGAGAAUCGGAUAUUGUCGAUCUAAAUCGGCGACUUAGUUGACAAAGUCGGCGAUCCCUCCGGGAAGGCUCAAACCGGACUUUGCAAAAAAAAAUCGCGAUUAUAACGGGAUACCGGUGGUUCGGUAGUCCCACAGACGGCGUCAGCUAAUGAAGCACUGAAUCUGCUACCAGGGGCUCGUGGUGGUGCGAGGUGAUGUCGGAGGCUCUAGAGUCCAUGACGCACGCUCUACGUCAAAUACCUGGAAGUAGAGACUAGGCGAUUUUAGUGAGAAUCGACGAGUCUCUUAGUGAUGCUCUGGUGAGAGUGGAACUUGUGUUAUGCCUUUGAGUGUCCCCUUAGGACCCUUUUUAUAAGGUCUCGGAGGGCGCGAUCAAAGACGGACAUCGCGCCUAUUGCCGCAUUUAUUGCAUUGGCUGGCAGCGAGUAACGGUCGUAAAUCGGCGAUUCAGGUAUGGAAAUCGCCUAUUUAGGGCAAACUCGCCGAGUUUCCAGGGGCGAGAUGUGUAGUCUACCAUACUCUCGAUCUGGGCCCUAACUCGGCGAUUUGUCCCUCAAGUCGGCGAUUUGGUAGUCCAAUCGCAAUUUACGGGUUAACUCGGCGAUUUGACGAUGAACUUGUUCUGCACCGUGGGAGCCUUCCGGGGGUCCGGCGUAAAGCGACGGAACCCUAGUCCUUGUUGAAAAACGUUGCUGGGAGUGACUGUUGUAAUCAAGUAUGUCUCACCAGAUUGCAUCUUGUGUGGGGGGUCAUGGGAAUUUCAAGACCAUGUCUUCUUCAAAUGCAAGUUCUCCAAAGAUCUAUGGAUAUAUAUUUUAAAUGCAAAACCCAGUUUGAUUACGCGUACAGGUCUAUCUUUAGAACAGGUCAUGGUACAGGCAAACGCAAGAACGAAAAACUCACCAUGCUGGGGGCUGACGUGGGCGUACACGGCAGCGAUAGUCUGGGGAAUCUGAACCGAAAGGAACAGGACAGAUGCACGAGGACAGAUGCACGAGCCCACAGGAGAUAGAAAGGAGGACAAUGCAGGACAUAACAAAGACCUUCAAGCCGGACAGGUACAAGGCAAAAGGAACGCGUAGAGAACAGAGAUGGAUGGACGCAUGGAUCGGAGGCGCCCAGUCAGCGCAAACGUGAAACUUGUUUAUCUUUAAAUAUUUACUAUUGAGUCUGUAAAUUUAUUUUAGUAGGAACUUGUAUUAAGAGUAACUCAUAAACUGAGGCUUAGGGUGGGAUGAGGUUCAACUAAAAAUAGAACUCUGUCUCACCAAAAGCUUUGAAAGUAACAAUUAGUAAAUGAAAUGACCUAAAAAGUCAUAUCCAUAGAGAGCCCCAUCUCCUAGGGGAUAGACUUUCUUUUUAAAGUAGAAACGAUAUGUGGAAUCACUUACGAGUAGUGGACUGAAAGGUGAUGGCAGAGUUUUCCUUUGGCAAAGGAAAAGAGGCCAUGGAGCACACUAGGGUUUUUACACUCCCCAUUGUCUUAGGCCCACUACGUAAAAACGAUGAAGCAUAGAUCGUUUAGGAAACAUCGAGUCAGUCCCCCAAAGGUUGUUGAAGGCCCAAACGAUCGUAAGAUCCGGGGCUGGAUCAAUACGGAGGGUGUGGGGUGGAUCGCAUGUGAUCACAC
rnacentral:lncRNA from 1 species